GGGUCCGCACAAGCGGUGGAGCAUGUGGUUUAAUUCGAUGAUACGCGAGGAACCUUACCUAGGCUAUAAUGUGAGUGAUCGGUGCUGAAAGGCACUUUUCCUUCGGGACACGAAACAAGGUGCUGCAUGGUUGUCGUCAGCUCGUGUCGUGAGAUGUUGGGUUAAGUCCCGCAACGAGCGCAACCCUUACCCUUAUUUGCCAGCGAUUCGGUCGGGAACUAUAAGGGGACUGCCGGUGAUAAACCGGAGGAAGGUGAGGACGACGUCAAGUCAUCAUGGCCCUUACGAGUAGGGCUACACACGUGCUACAAUGGGGAAUACAGACGGACGCUAAGCCGCGAGGUGGUGCUAAUCCUAGAAAGUUUCUCGUAGUCCGGAUUGGAGUCUGCAACUCGACUCCAUG
rnacentral:rRNA from 1 species